CCUACGGGUGGCAGCAGUGGGGGAUAUUGCUCAAUGGUGGAAACCCUGAUGCAGCGACGCCGCGUGAGUGAAGAAGUAUUUCGGUAUGUAAAGCUCUAUUAGCAGGGAAGAAAAUGACAGUACCUGACCAAGAAGCCCCGGCUAACUACGUACCAGCAGCCGCGGUAACACGUAGGGGGCAAGCGUUAAACGGAUUUACUGGGGUUAAAGGGAGCGUAGAAGGGUUUGUAAGUCUGAAGGUAAAGCCCGGGGCCCAACCCCGGGACUGCGUUGGAAACCGUGUGACUGGAGUACAGGAGGGGCAGGCGGAAUGCGUGGUGGAGCGGUGAAAUGCGUAGAUAUCAGGAGGAACACCGGCGGCGAAGGCGGCCUGCUGGACUGAAACUGACGUUGAGGCACGAAAGCGUGGGGAGCGAACAGGAUUAGAUACCCCUGUAGUC
rnacentral:rRNA from 1 species